rnacentral:rRNA from 1 species
UACGAGUGCCCCAAGCGUUAUCCGGAAUUAUUGGGCGUAAAGGGUGUGUAGGUUGUCUUGUUAGUCUUCUGUGAAAUUCUUCGGCUUAACCGGGGCUCCGCAGGGGAAACGGCAGGACUAGAGGAUGCGAGGGGUGUACGGAACUCAUGGUGUAGGGGUGAAAUCCGUUGAUAUCAUGGGGAACACCAAAAGCGAAGGCAGUACACUGGCGCACUCCUGACACUGAAACACGAAAAGCGUGGGUAGCGAAUGGG